rnacentral:misc_RNA from 1 species
UCCUCAUUGGCUAUUUAAAUGGAAAUCAGUCCACUACGAUUUUCCUUUCUUUCUCAGUGGUCUGCAUGUGUGGAACCAAGUGCUUAUUUUCCUUUGCUUUUUUUUCCUGUCAAAAUCCAAAAUGAUAUUUUGGCCCACUUGCACAUUUGUGGCUUGUCUAUUGUACCGUUUGAGUGAUGUUGUAAAUUAGACUACAUAGUAUUGAAUACAUAUUUGAUUCUUAAACAUUGAGGUUUGUGAAUUCUUG